UACAGAGGGGGCGAGCGUUGUUCGGAAUUACUGGGCGUAAAGGGCGCGUAGGCGGCCGUCCAAGUCGGGUGUGAAAUCCCUCGGCUCAACCGAGGAACUGCACUCGAUACUGGUCGGCUAGAGUCCGGGAGGGGAUGGUGGAAUUCCCAGUGUAGCGGUGAAAUGCGUAGAUAUUGGGAAGAACACCGGUGGCGAAGGCGGCCAUCUGGACCGGAACUGACGCUGAGGCGCGAAAGCCAGGGGAGCGAAUGGG
rnacentral:rRNA from 1 species